UACGAAUGGGGCAAGCGUUGUUCGGAAUCACUGGGCGUAAAGCGUGUGUAGGCGGUUUAUCAAGUCAGGAGUGAAAUCCCAGGGCUCAACCCUGGAAUUGCUCUUGAAACUGAUAAGCUAGAGUCCCGGAGAGGUUAGCAGAAUUCCGAGUGUAGAGGUGAAAUUCGCAGAUAUUCGGAGGAAUACCAGUGGCGUACGCGGCUAACUGGACGGGCACUGACGCUGAGACACGAAAGCGUGGGGAUCAAACAGG
rnacentral:rRNA from 1 species